rnacentral:rRNA from 1 species
UACGAAGGGGGCUAGCGUUGUUCGGAAUCACUGGGCGUAAAGCGCACGUAGGCGGAUCUUUAAGUCAGGGGUGAAAUCCCGAAGGCUCAACCUCGGAACUGCCUUUGAUACUGGGAUCUCGAGUCCGGGAGAGGUGGAGUGGAACUGCGAGUGUAGAGGUGAAAUUCGUAGAUAUUCGCAAGAACACCAGUGGCGAAGGCGGCUCACUGGCCCGGAACUGACGCUGAGGUGCGAAAGCGGUGGGGAGCAAACAGGGA